rnacentral:rRNA from 1 species
CCCUUAGAUGUUCUGGGCCGCACGCGCGCUACACUGACGAAGUCAGCGAGCAUGUCCUGCGCCGACAGGUGCGGGGAAUCUUGUCAAACUUCGUCGUGAUGGGGAUUGAUUAUUGAAAUUCUUGAUCAUCAACGAGGAAUUCCUAGUAAGCGCAAGUCAGCAGCUUGCGUUGAUUACGUCCCUGCCCUUUGUACACACCGCCCGUCGCUACUACCGAUUGAAUGGUUUAGUGAGAUCUUCGGAUUGGCGCCACUGCGGCUCAGCAAUGGGCUCGGUGGAUGCCGAAAAGUUGAUCAAACUUGAUCAUUUAGAGGAAGUAAAAGUCGUAACA